AUUAUUUGUGAUAAGGAGGAGAGCUGUGUGGCAGCAAAUUAACCUUAAAUUUGGCUGCUUAGAGGUUUUAUAACUUCUAUUUGAAGUGCCUUCUGCAAAACAACUUUGGAGUUUGGUGUUUAUGCCCCAGAAGUGCUUCCUCCAGAUUAGAAAACAGGCAUAGUACUACAUAACGGUGUUAGAACUUGGCUUUAGAUGGUUCAGGUCUCCUGCUUUUCCUCUCGGGGUAGUCAGUGCCAUUC
rnacentral:lncRNA from 1 species